rnacentral:SRP_RNA from 1 species
CCGUGCUAAGUGGGGAGCUAGCGGUGCCCUGUUACCCGGAAUCCGCUAUACCGGGACUGAUGCCCACCCGAGGUCCGUCAGCAGCUUGCACGGCCCGGUUAAGUGGUGUUGACGGUCAGGUCCCGUGCAACUUGAGGCUGCCCAAUCCCGUCAGGUCCGGAAGGAAGCAGCGGUAAGCAUGUCUUUGAGUGUGAUGCGGGGAAGCUUGACCUGAGCUAACUGGCCGUACCGUUGUUAGGUCAGCGGGAUCGGAGGUGGGUGCACGG